GACGAAGGGGGCUAGCGUUGUUCGGAAUUACUGGGCGUAAAGCGUGCGCAGGCGGUUUUGUAAGUCUGUCGUGAAAUCCCCGGGCUUAACCUGGGAAUGGCGAUGGAGACUGCAAGGCUAGAGUUUGGCAGAGGGGGGUAGAAUUCCACGUGUAGCAGUGAAAUGCGUAGAGAUGUGGAGGAACACCGAUGGCGAAGGCAGCCCCCUGGGUCAAAACUGACGCUCAUGCACGAAAGCGUGGGGAGCAAACAGG
rnacentral:rRNA from 1 species